CUGGAAUCGCUAGUAAUCGCAGGUCAGCAUACUGCGGUGAAUACGUUCCCGGGUCUUGUACACACCGCCCGUCACACCAUGGGAGCCGGAAAUGCCCGAAGCCAGUGACCCAACCUUAGGGAGGGAGCUGUCGAAGGUGGAGCCGGUAACUGGGGUGAAGUCGUAACAAGGUAAC
rnacentral:rRNA from 1 species